rnacentral:rRNA from 1 species
GAUGAACGCUGGCGGCGUGCCUAACACAUGCAAGUCGAACGGAGAUUACGGACGGAAGUUUUCGGAUGGAAGCCUGUAAUUCUUAGUGGCGGACGGGUGAGUAACGCGUGGGCAACCUGCCCUAUACAGGGGGAUAGCAGCUGGAAACGGCUGGUAAGACCGCAUAAGUCGGUUAAAUCGCAUGAUUUGAUCGGGAAAUGAGCAAUCAGGUAUAGGAUGGGCCCGCGUCCGAUUAGCCAGUUGGCAGGGUAAAAGCCUACCAAAGCGACGAUCGGUAGCCGGACUGAGAGGUCGGACGGCCACAUUGGGACUGAGACACGGCCCAAACUCCUACGGGAGGCAGCAGUGGGAGAUAUUGCACAAUGGAGGAAACUCUGAUGCAGCGACGCCGCGUGAGUGAAGAAGUAUUUCGGUAUGUAAAGCUCUAUCAGCAGGGAAGAUGAUGACGGUACCUGACUAAGAAGCCCCGGCUAACUACGUG